GCAAAGAGUAGUGGCAGAGCACCCACACAAGACACGGGUCACAACUUGAAUAAAGAGAGAGGCGGAGCAUUCUGCGUCAUUGCCAGUGUCGGAACGUCCUAAGUUAUUGUGUUCAGCAUAGGAAUCCCUAGAUCAGGGGAGAGUGCCCAGAACCGUUGGAGGACGUCUGGUUUGAGGAGCAGGUAUGAUGUACAUUUUGGUGCACUGCUGGUCAAU